rnacentral:rRNA from 1 species
GAUGAACGCUGGCGGCGUGCCUAAUACAUGCAAGUCGAGCGAAAGGACGAGUAUCUUGCUUUUCUGAUGUUAGCGGCGGACGGGUGAGUACCACGUGGAUAACAUCCAUAUCAGACUGGGAUUACUUCGGGAACCCGGAGUUAAUACCGGAAAAUAUUUUGAACCGCAUGGUUCAAAAGUGAAAGACGGUCUUGCUGUCACUUAAAGAUGGAUCCGAGCUGCAUUAGCUAGUUGGUAAGGUAACGGCUUACCAAGGCAACGAUGCAUAGCCGACCUGCGAGGUGGUUCGGCGACGCUGGGACAGGGACACGGGCCAGACUCGUACGGAGGGCAGCAGCAGACAAUCUUGCGAGAUAGGCGAAGGCCAUACUCAGCAACGCCGCAAAGGUUGUCAAGGUAUUGCGGUGUGAAAAUUCUGUGAUUAGGGAUGAUCAUAUUUUUUUGUAACUGUGCAAAUCAUGACGGUACCUGAUCAGAAAGCCACGGCUAACUACGUG